AUGGUGUCAAAGGCUGCACUGAGAUCAAGGAGAAUCAGAAUGGAAAUAAGUCCAUCAUCAGCUGCACAGAGGAGGUCAUUAGUAAUCUUAAUCAUGGCCGUUUCAGUACUGUGCAUAGGACGAAAUCCAGACUGGAAUGGCUCGAAGAGGUCAUUGUCCUUCAGGUGAUCCUGGAGUUGAGUUGCCACUAUCUUCUCAAGAACUUUGGAGAGAAAAGGCAAGUUGGAAAUAGGCCUGUAAUUGUUGAAGUUGUCAGAAUCCAAUCCAAGUUUUUUCAGUGUUGGUCUGACAAUAGCAGUUUUAAAGGAUGGUGGUACAGUGCCAGAGAGAAGAGAGGUGUGAAAUAUUGAUGUAAUCAUCGGAGCAAUAGAUGGCAGGCAGCUCUUAACCAGGCUUGUUGGAAGAGGGUCCAGCUGACAGGUGGAGGAAUUGCACUUUUUGAUGAGGCCACAGAUGGUACUUUCAGCAGGGAGACUGAAUUCACGGAGUUCAUUGAUGGAAGAACAUGUGCUGGAUCUUCAAUAAGACCACAGCUGAGAAAAUGGUGGACAAAAUGGAUUCAACAUGGCAUGCAUCUUAAUUCCUAAAGGUCUUUAAAAAUCAGAUAGGAAAACAAAGCCCUUCACAACAGUCCCAAGAGGCCUUCUUCGCUGACUGAUAAAGACGUUCUCCCCUUGCAUCUGAGGAUAUCUGAAUUAGCUUGACAUAUUGUACAACUGUGGUUACAUCAUGCUCAAGGUCAACAUGAGUGUUGCACACUGCUUUACAUUUAAAACAAGCCAGAGGGCCCAUUUAUCUGAACUGUUUUCAAGUUAUAAAUAUACUUGAGUGUUGUGUGUGAAUGAAUCGAACCAACUGUAUACAGUACAACAAACAUACAGUGAGGUUAAUCCCUUCAGCUAUAACACCUUCAAGACCAAGGAACUAUAUAUAGCGACUACAGGCCACGAAGGGAUUUAGAAAG